UACGAAGGGGGCUAGCGUUACUCGGAAUGACUGGGCGUAAAGGGCGCGUAGGCGGUUCGUACAGUCAGACGUGAAAUUCCCGGGCUCAACCUGGGGGCUGCGUUUUGAUACGUGCGGGCUUGAGUUCGGAAGAGGGUCGUGGAAUUCCCAGUGUAGAGGUGAAAUUCGUAGAUAUUGGGAAGAACACCGGUGGCGAAGGCGGCGACCUGGUCCGAUACUGACGCUGAGGCGCGAAAGCGUGGGGAGCAAACAGG
rnacentral:rRNA from 1 species